rnacentral:rRNA from 1 species
CAGUAGCCGCGGUAAUACGGAGGGUGCAAGCGUUAAUCGGAAUUACUGGGCGUAAAGCGCACGCAGGCGGUUUGUUAAGUCAGAUGUGAAAUCCCCGAGCUUAACUUGGGAACUGCAUUUGAAACUGGCAAGCUAGAGUCUUGUAGAGGGGGGUAGAAUUCCAGGUGUAGCGGUGAAAUGCGUAGAGAUCGGGAGGAACAUCAGUGGCGAAGGCGGCCAUCUGGGACAACACUGACGCUGAGGCACGAAAGCGUGGGGAGCAAACAGGAUUAGAUACCCCGGUAGUCCCUGUCUCUUAUAC